UGGCUCAGGACGAACGCUGGCGGCGUGCUUAACACAUGCAAGUCGAACGGAAAGGCCCCUUCGGGGGUACUCGAGUGGCGAACGGGUGAGUAACACGUGGGCAAUCUGCCCUGCACUUCGGGAUAAGCCUGGGAAACUGGGUCUAAUACCGGAUAGGACCUUUAGACGCAUGUCUUUUGGUGGAAAGCUUUUGCGGUGUGGGAUGGGCCCGCGGCCUAUCAGCUUGUUGGUGGGGUGAUGGCCUACCAAGGCGACGACGGGUAGCCGGCCUGAGAGGGUGUCCGGCCACACUGGGACUGAGAUACGGCCCAGACUCCUACGGGAGGCAGCAGUGGGGAAUAUUGCACAAUGGGCGCAAGCCUGAUGCAGCGACGCCGCGUGGGGGAUGACGGCCUUCGGGUUGUAAACCUCUUUCACCAUCGACGAAGGUUCGGGUUUUCUCGGACUGACGGUAGGUGGAGAAGAAGCACCGGCCAACUACGUGCCAGCAGCCGCGGUAAUACGUAGGGUGCGAGCGUUGUCCGGAAUUACUGGGCGUAAAGAGCUCGUAGGUGGUUUGUCGCGUUGUUCGUGAAAUCUCACGGCUUAACUGUGAGCGUGCGGGCGAUACGGGCAGACUAGAGUACUGCAGGGGAGACUGGAAUUCCUGGUGUAGCGGUGGAAUGCGCAGAUAUCAGGAGGAACACCGGUGGCGAAGGCGGGUCUCUGGGCAGUAACUGACGCUGAGGAGCGAAAGCGUGGGGAGCGAACAGGAUUAGAUACCCUGGUAGUCCACGCCGUAAACGGUGGGUACUAGGUGUGGGUUUCCUUCCUUGGGAUCCGUGCCGUAGCUAACGCAUUAAGUACCCCGCCUGGGGAGUACGGCCGCAAGGCUAAAACUCAAAGGAAUUGACGGGGGCCCGCACAAGCGGCGGAGCAUGUGGAUUAAUUCGAUGCAACGCGAAGAACCUUACCUGGGUUUGACAUGCACAGGACGCGUCUAGAGAUAGGCGUUCCCUUGUGGCCUGUGUGCAGGUGGUGCAUGGCUGUCGUCAGCUCGUGUCGUGAGAUGUUGGGUUAAGUCCCGCAACGAGCGCAACCCUUGUCUCAUGUUGCCAGCGGGUAAUGCCGGGGACUCGUGAGAGACUGCCGGGGUCAACUCGGAGGAAGGUGGGGAUGACGUCAAGUCAUCAUGCCCCUUAUGUCCAGGGCUUCACACAUGCUACAAUGGCCGGUACAAAGGGCUGCGAUGCCGCAAGGUUAAGCGAAUCCUUUUAAAGCCGGUCUCAGUUCGGAUUGGGGUCUGCAACUCGACCCCAUGAAGUCGGAGUCGCUAGUAAUCGCAGAUCAGCAACGCUGCGGUGAAUACGUUCCCGGGCCUUGUACACACCGCCCGUCACGUCAUGAAAGUCGGUAACACCCGAAGCCAGUGGCCUAACCUUUUGGAGGGAGCUGUCGAAGGUGGGAUCGGCGAUUGGGACGAAGUCGUAACAAGGUAACC
rnacentral:rRNA from 1 species